UACGAAGGGGGCUAGCGUUGCUCGGAAUCACUGGGCGUAAAGGGUGCGUAGGCGGGUCUUUUAAGUCAGGGGUGAAAUCCUGGAGCUCAACUCCAGAACUGCCUUUGAUACUGAGGAUCUUGAGUUCGGGAGAGGUGAGUGGAACUGCGAGUGUAGAGGUGAAAUUCGUAGAUAUUCGGAAGAACACCAGUGGCGAAGGCGACUUACUGGACACAUAUUGACGCUGAGGUGCGAAAAGCGUGGGGGAGCAAACAGGG
rnacentral:rRNA from 1 species